rnacentral:rRNA from 1 species
CGCCUGGUUAACAAAAACAUGUCUUCUUGAUAAUAUUAUGAGGUUUGACCUGCUCACUCGAAAAUUUUUAAAUAGCCGCGGUAUUUUGACCGUGCAAAGGUAGCAUAAUCAUUAGUCUCUUAAUUAGAGGCUGGAAUGUGGUUUGACGAGAAAUUAACUCUCUCUUAAUAAAUUUUAAAAUUUAACUUUUAAGUUAAAAGGCUUAAAUUUUUCUUUAGGACGAGAAGACCCUAUAGAGCUUUACAUCUAAGUUAGAUAUUUUUUUAAGAUUGUCUUUUUAUAUUUAAUGAUAAUGUUUUGUUGGGGUGACAUAAAGAAUUAAUAAACUUUUUAUUAUAAAAUCAUUAAUUUAUGUUUAUUUUGAUCCAUAAUUUAUGAUCAUAAGAUAAAGUUACCUUAGGGAUAACAGCGUAAUUGUUUUAAAGAGCUGAUAUGACAAAGCGGAUUGCGACCUCGAUGUUGGAUUAAGAAAAUUUUGGGUGCAGUAGCUCAAUAAAUUAGGUCUGUUCGACCUUUGGGUCGA